UACAGAGGGUGCGAGCGUUAAUCGGAAUUACUGGGCGUAAAGCGCACGUAGGCGGCUUGGUAUGUCGGGCGUGAAAUCCCUCGGCUCAACCGGGGAACUGCGUCCGAUACUGGCGGGCUUGAAUUCGGGAGAGGGAUGUGGAAUUCCAGGUGUAGCGGUGAAAUGCGUAGAUAUCUGGAGGAACACCGGUGGCGAAGGCGGCAUCCUGGACCGACAUUGACGCUGAGGCGCGAAAGCCAGGGGAGCAAACGGG
rnacentral:rRNA from 1 species